CGAUGGUAGCAAUAACGAUGGUAGCAAUAACGAUGGUGGUAAAAAAAAAAAAAAAAAAAAUGUGAACGAAAGUGCAGUAACAACUAAUACAAAAGUGGCUAGUGCUUGGGGAGUUAAAAAAUUGCUAACCUCUUACGCCUCCGUAGUAUACAAUGCAACAAAAAAAAAAAAUACGGUGAAUGAGAUAAAAACUGUCGAAGCGGAACAAAGUACCAAUGUAAGUGCACAACAUAUGCCACUGAACAAUGAUCAAGCGUUAGUGGAGGAGAAGAAGGACAAAAGUGACGAAAACGAUAAGACUGAAAAAGAUGACAAAAGUAGUAAAGGUAAAAAAAAUAAUAAAUCACAAAUUACAACUCCUAAAAACAAAGAAACGCCUAAACUAUGGGUAUCUGUCAUAACUAAAGGAACAACCCAGGGAAAUAACACGAAAGAUAGUAGCAACGAAAAUAGUGAUGGGGGUCAAUACAAUACGGAAAAAGCAGAUAAGCCUAGUACUGUGGAUAUGAAAAAACAUAACGAUAAUGACAACGUGAUCGUGAAUAAAAAGAAUGAACAAAAUAAUAUUAGCACUACGAAUAAAGGAACAGGGUAUAAAAAAAAAGAAGGUUUUCAAGAAUCGCAUUCACCUAAUCAAAAAAUGUUCAACGAAAUUAGUGGUGAUCAUAAAUCUAUGAAAACUGUUAGUAGUAUUGGUCAUAAACAGGAAGAAAAUAAAAACGCAACAAAGGGUAUGGAAGUAACCGAUAUGCAUAAUAACACAGAUACACUAUUAAAUACGAAUAAUAUGAUGCAUAAAGGAAUGGUGGUAUCAGUUGAUCAGAUGUAUAAUAAUGAUGUUGCUAAUGCUAGUAGCAAUACUAUUAAUAAAAAACAUCUUUCAGAUGCAAUACUCUCCAAAGUAAGAAACGAUAAGUAUGCUACAAACGAAAAUAAUAACAAUUUUAAUAAUAUUAGAAACAAGAAGGAAAGUGGUUCUAUGAAUAAGUGGCAUGAGGAAGAAGAUUUAACAACAGAAUUGAAGGAGCACAGAGCAACACACAGACAAAAAGAUACAACUUUAGAAAUGUCGGAAGAACAACAGUUAAUAAAAAAAAAACAGAUGAAAAAAAAAAGUGAUGAUAAAAAAGAUUAUUUUAAAGCAUCAAGUCAAGUAAUAGCAUCAACUACAAUAUUAAACCAAAUGAAAAAAAAUAAAAAUAUGAACAUCGAUAAUGAAUAUAGUAGUGACAGUGCAAGUAGCUAUAGUCGCAGCAACAGUAGUUAUAGCAACAGUGAAGAUAAUCACCAUAUGCGUUAUAAUAAUAAAAAGAAUGUUAAAAAUAUAAGUUCUGUUAGAAAUAAGCAUAUAAAGUCAAGUGACUCAUCAUCAUCAUCAUCAUCAUCCGAAUCGGUAGUAUCAGCAUCAGAAUCAGGAUCAUUAUCGUCAGAUAGUCAAGAUGAAAAUAGAAAAAACAAAAAAGAUAAGAAUGUUCCUAUAUAUAUGCCUAAUUUAUCGUUAAUGUGUAAUAAUAUAAAUAAAAAAAUAUUUUUUGGUGAUAUAAAUUUUUCGAAAGAUCGUAUUGAUAAUAUAGAAGCGAAUAAAAUAAAAAGUAACACUCAUUCUUUUAGUAAUGUCAAUAACAAUAAUAAUAGAGGUAUGAAUAUGAGCCAUAAGAAAGGUAAUGUUAGUAGUAGUACUAUUGGUAGUGGUAGAAGUGGUAGCAGUUACAGUAAUAUAAAUAAUAAUGAGAAUAGCAACUCUCGAGGUUAUAUAAAUAAACGAAACAGUAACAGUAAAAAUAUUAGUAACGUUGGUAGUAAUAAUGUAAAUUAUAAAAAGAACUACACUCUCGAUUUAUCCGAUGUUGGUAUAGAUAGUAACAAUUCUAACACUAGAAAUAAUGUUAAUUUUGGUACUGAUGUUCUUUAUAAUAUGGGCAGUAAUAAUAACAAUAGAGGUAAUCAUGUUAAUGGUAUGAUAAAUAAAAGCAAUUAUGGUAGUUAUAAUACACAUGGUUCAACAAGCACUACAAAUACAACAACAAAAACAAUAAUAAUAACAACAAUAACAACAAUAAUAACAACGGUAAUAGCAAUAAUGGUAACAAUCGCAAUAACCGCUAUAACCGCAACAACCGUAACCGAAACAAUAGAAGUAACAGUAGUAGUGCCAGUAGUAGUGUCAGUACUAUCAGUAAUCAACAUGACAAUAGUAAAGAUGGAACCACCAAUAUUAACAGUAGGAACUAUGCAAAUAUGAAUAAUAUAAAUAAUACUAGUACAAAUACUACGAGUAAUAAUAAUAAUGGUGCACUUACUACGAAUAUACCAAUAAAAAACACAAACACAGAUGUUAAUAGCA
rnacentral:lncRNA from 1 species